rnacentral:rRNA from 1 species
GACAGAGGGUGCAACCGUUGUUCGGAAUUACUGGGCGUAAAGCGCGUGUAGGCUGCUCGGUAAGUCGGAUGUGAAAGCCCUGGGCUUAACCCAGGAAGUGCAUUCGAAACUCCCGAGCUUGAGUCUCGGAGAGGAAGGCGGAAUUCUCGGUGUAGAGGUGAAAUUCGUAGAUAUCGAGAGGAACACCUGCGGCGAAGGCGGGUUGCUGGGCUGACACUGACGCUGAGGCGCGAAAGCUAGGGGAGCGAACGGG